GGACUGCCCUUAGUUUCAGCAAUUAAAUGAUUACAUUGCUUUUCUUAGCUCUUUCAAAUCACUAAAUCAUUUUGUGAUAGAGAGUCUAGUUUCGGCUGCACCAUCCUCUACCUCUCCAUCCGAAAGCAAUAAAAAAACGUGAAAACACCCCCCCUGCAGCCGGCUCCUACUUUUGACGGGGUCGGUGGCAAACCCUAUUACUUGCAUGCCAAUCUCCACUACUUCUUUCUCAUCUCCUUUACCUCUAUGCAUUUCUAUUUCAUUUUGGCCCUUAAUUUCAGUGUUCUUUGAGGUUUUGUCUUAACUUCCUUGAGCUUGACUUAGAUAUGGGCUUUUAUGCACCUCUCUUCCUCGAGUGUUUCUUUCUAUCAUCAGUCUUCCACCCACCUAACUCUACUACUCGGCUCAUGGAAUGCCUCUUCUUCGUGGCACACUUUGAUGUUGGAUGGUUGUUAAAGUGUUAUUCACUAUUUGGUAGAAUUAUGGGAGUGCUUUUUGCGUUUCAUCCAGUUUGUUCAUUGUUAUUCUUCGUCAUGGUGGUGGUGGAUUUGCAAUGACAUCACAAUUGGAGUGGUUUGAAUUGUCUUGCGGUCUUUCUAUAUCUUGUACUAGUUUUUUUUUAAGGAAAAAUUAGUAUUCAGUCCCUAAUUUCUAACAUCCAUUGAUUAAGACCUUAUCAGUUUUUAGAUUUUGAUCAAAGUCCCUAACAUUAAUGUUUAAUGAACCACAUGUCAGUUACAUAAUUUUUUAAAUAAAAAUUAGUAAUUGAUUUAGGUUUUUAAUACUCGCACCCUUAUUAAACUCCUAAUUAAUUUUCAAUUCAUAACAUUUCCAAGGUAUAAAAAUAAAAUUAGAAUAAGUCUGUACCCAUUAAUUUUUAUACAAAUUUUUUAAUUUUUUAAUCUUAUAUGUACCCAUUCAUAUAACUUUUCAAUUUUUUCUAAUUAAAUAUAUCAAUUUGGUAUAUGUCAAAUGUACCCUUUUUUAAAUAUAAAAUGUACUCAUUUUUUAUAUAAAAUUCAUUCAAUCUUUUUUCUAAUUCAUUUUUUUAACUUAUAUGGGUACAUUCUAUUUCGUUGAUUUGAAAAUGUAUCCAUAUCAAGUUUAAUAGAAGAAAUUUAAUAAUGUUAUAAAGCCUAAUAUCUUUUUUGUUUUUGCUUUUGUUUGUGUUUUUGAAAAAUGUACCUAUGUUUUGGUACAAUAAUUUUUUGGUUAGUUUUGAUGAACGUACCCAUGUGUAUAUAUACAUAAUCUAUUGGAUAGUAUAAUUUGUCUUUAAUAUUUUUAAUUCCAUAAAUUAUGGAUUUUAUUUAAAAUCUCAUUGAUAUAAAUAACUGCAAAUUUUAUUUUUAAUUUAAAAAUAUAAUAAUCUACAUAGAAAUACAUUAUUACAUUAAUGUUGAAGACUUCGAUAAAAAACUGAAAACCACAAAUGUUUUAGUCAAAGAAUAUUGGUAAUUAGAGACCACAUCCAAAGUCUUUUUUUUUUAAUUAAUAAAUUAUCUAGUUUGACCAGUACAGCUUCUUUCACUAUUUGGUUCUUUCUUGUUAGGACUCAGUAGCGAAGUAACUAAAAGAUUAAUUGAAUAUACAUACAAACCAUAUUAAUUGAGCUAAUAAGCACCGCAUAAUGCUUGCAUUCUCUUUUUGAGUGUUGAGCUCAUUUUUUUUACUUGUAAGUACCGUAUUUUUACUAUAAAAAUUUCAUAAUCAGAAUUGUUCAAUCUCUUAAUUUUUAAUUGAAAAUAUUCUCUACAAAAAAUCAUUCAAAUUGGUGAUUGUUGACUUACCAAAAUGCAAUAAAAUAAAUUAACGACUAUGAUUAUAAACUCUCUAUGUUGAAGAAGCGUCCACAUACUUAAUACAUGCCACAUCUGUUUUUUCACUUAAUCUUAAUAACCCCAUAUACUUUUUCAUUAUACCCUCGCACCUCGUUCUCCCAACAAACAUGCACCCCACUCUUCACAUCUUAGAUGCAAAUACAUAUUUUAUGUUUUUAUUUUUAUUUUUUACACCCCAGACUCUUCAUAUCUUUGAAUUAUGAAGUGAUUUUUAUGUUGUUUCUCCUCCCUUUCAAAAAAAUGAUAUUUAGAUUUGAGAAUCCAUUAUGGACGAAAUUUUCUUAUUUUUCUAAAACGUUGAUUUCAUUCCAUUGGUCAAAAAUAAUUUUUUUUUUCAAUCAACAUGUUUGUAGUUCCAUUGAUUAGGGUUUUGUUCUACAAUGAAUGGUAAGAGUGGUUUUGAGAGUUGAAGAAGAUAUAAUAAUCUUGAGAUAUACUCAUAUACACGUUAAAUGUGAUUUGGUGUGUUUUAGAACUUCUUGAAACCUUAUGCGGUCGAAAUUAUCAUUGCAUAUUAAGAUAUAUAAGCUAUUUAAUAAUUAAUUUUAAUGUGAAGUGUAUUCAAUAUGUGUAGUGUUAAUAUAAAAAACCAUGCAAGUAUUAUCCAACAAAAACCGUGCAUCUUAUCCUUUAGAAUUAUUAGUUCUUGUUUCCUUCUUCAUGCAAGUAUUAAUAAUAUUUCAGGUUGUGAUAGCACAACAAGGGUGCUUUUGUUACAACAAACUAUCUUGUACUAGAUUAGUUUUAGGAACUAAGUUAGACUGGCUUGACAUAAACUACAAUGGAUAAAAAUAAUAAAGCGUUUGGUGUAAUUGCGGACUAUGUCUCGGACUAUAAUAUUUUUAUACUCAAAAACUUUUUUUUUUGCCAUUUUUAUUUUUCUUAAACUUUCCUAGCAACCUCCUUCCUUGCAUUAUUUUAAAAGAAAACUAACGAAAAGUUAAAAAAACUUUAGUUUUAGCGAAAAAAGACAAAUAAAGGUGUAAUGAAUGAUACCAGAAAAAAA
rnacentral:lncRNA from 1 species